rnacentral:rRNA from 1 species
UACGAAGGGGGCUAGCGUUGCUCGGAAUCACUGGGCGUAAAGCGCACGUAGGCGGCUUUCUAAGUCAGGGGUGAAAUCCUGGAGCUCAACUCCAGAACUGCCUUUGAUACUGGAAAGCUUGAGUUCGGGAGAGGUGAGUGGAACUGCGAGUGUAGAGGUGAAAUUCGUAGAUAUUCGCAAGAACACCAGUGGCGAAGGCGGCUCACUGGCCCGGUACUGACGCUGAGGCACGAAAGCGUGGGGAGCAAACAGG